rnacentral:rRNA from 1 species
GAUGAACGCUAGCGGCAGGCUUAACACAUGCAAGUCGAGGGGCAGCAUAAUGGAUAGCAAUAUCUAUGGUGGCGACCGGCGCACGGGUGCGUAACGCGUAUGCAACCUACCUUUAACAGGGGGAUAACACUGAGAAAUUGGUACUAAUACCCCAUAAUAUCAUAGAAGGCAUCUUUUAUGGUUGAAAUUCCGAUGGUUAGAGAUGGGCAUGCGUUGUAUUAGCUAGUUGGUGGGGUAACGGCUCACCAAGGCGACGAUACAUAGGGGGACUGAGAGGUUGAACGGCCACAUUGGGACUGAGACACGGCCCAG